GACGAACGCUGGCGGCGUGCCUAAUACAUGCAAGUAGAACGCUGAAGAGAGGAGCUUGCUCUUCUUGGAUGAGUUGCGAACGGGUGAGUAACGCGUAGGUAACCUGCCUGGUAGCGGGGGAUAACUAUUGGAAACGAUAGCUAAUACCGCAUAAAAUGGAUUAUCGCAUGAUAAUCCAUUGAAAGGUGCAAAUGCAUCACUACCAGAUGGACCUGCGUUGUAUUAGCUAGUUGGUGGGGUAACGGCUCACCAAGGCGACGAUACAUAGCCGACCUGAGAGGGUGGUCGGCCACCCUGGGACUGAGACACGGCCCAGACUCCUACGGGAGGCAGCAGUAGGGAAUCUUCGGCAAUGGACGGAAGUCUGACCGAGCAACGCCGCGUGAGUGAAGAAGGUUUUCGGAUCGUAAAGCUCUGUUGUAAGAGAAGAACGAGUGUGAGAGUGGAAAGUUCACACUGUGACGGUAUCUUACCAGAAAGGGACGGCUAACUACGUG
rnacentral:rRNA from 1 species